AGAAACUGAAGUGAUUCUUGAGAAACCUCAGCAGGACACUGUCGGUACUUAGCUAGAGUCUCAAAGCCAGGUUCAACUGAGAGACCAAGAAAGUUGUAGGUAAUGGGAAAGGAAGAUGCAAUCGGAGCACCAAUGCUUAAACUGCAUUAAUGUCUUGAUGAUUGGGUUCAAAACCCAGUUUGCCAUUACACAGAACCAAUUGCUGUCCUGCAAUAUAAUAACACUGGAUCAAUUCAGAAAGCCAUUCUGUUGCUUGUGAUAACUUGCCUUGAAUUUUCUGGGCACAUUGAAACCUGUAUCUCUGUCUAAAAUGCAACCUGAACUCAACUUUUUUUGUUUUAAACGGAGAUAUGUUUGUCUGAAAAUGCCAAAAUAAAAUGCUGUGUAUAGGUCUU